rnacentral:rRNA from 1 species
UACGUAGGGGGCAAGCGUUAAUCGGAAUUACUGGGCGUAAAGCGUGCGUAGACGGUUACAUAAGUCGGGUGUGAAAGCCCCGGGCUCAACCUGGGAAUUGCAUUCGAGACUGCGUAGCUAGGGUGCGGAAGAGGGAAGCGGAAUUUCCGGUGUAGCGGUGAAAUGCGUAGAUAUCCGGAGGAACACCGGUGGCGAAGGCGGCUUCCUGGACCGACACUGACGCUGAGGCGCGAAAGCCAGGGGAGCAAACGGG